UUACUGGACAAAUAUGCACAAAGUGAACGUUUUGGUGGAGUGUGAAAGUGCAAGCAGCUCCUUUUGUUUUCUUUUGUUGCAUGAAAGAAACUGGGAGCAUGAUCACUUUUGGUGGAAUAGAUCAUUCUUAUUAUACUGGUUCUAUUAACUGGAUCCCUGUGAGUCAACAAACAUACUGGCAGAUUUCAAUGGACAGUGUUCUAGUGAAU